rnacentral:rRNA from 1 species
CUGGCUCAGAACGAACGCUGGCGGCAUGCCUAACACAUGCAAGUCGAACGGGCACCUUCGGGUGUCAGUGGCGCACGGGUGCGUAACGCGUGGGAAUCUGCCCCGGGGUACGGAAUAACUCAGGGAAACUUGAGCUAAUACCGUAUGAUGUCGCAAGACCAAAGAUUUAUCGCCCUGGGAUGAGCCCGCGUGGGAUUAGCUAGUUGGUGGGGUAAAGGCCUACCAAGGCGACGAUCCCUAGCUGGUCUGAGAGGAUGAUCAGCCACACUGGGACUGAGACACGGCCCAGACUCCUACGGGAGGCAGCAGUGGGGAAUAUUGGACAAUGGGCGAAAGCCUGAUCCAGCAAUGCCGCGUGAGUGAAGAAGGGCCUUCGGGGUUGUAAAGCUCUUUUGCCCCGGGGAUGAUAAUGACGUACCGGGGAGAAUAAGCCCCGGGCUAACUCCGUGCCAGCAGCCGCGGGUAAC